UGUGAACAGAGGAGACCACUCAGAAGGAAAAAAACAGGGGAGAUCCAAACCCUACCCUCACGGCCGCCCUCCAUUCCCAUCCUCUUCCCCGCCGGAACACGGCGAGUACUAGUUGCUCGCCGGAGUGCCCUCUUCUCCAACGCCGAGACGCCGGAACACGGAGCCGCCGCCACGGUGUAGUUCGCGAUGCCGCCAUAGUUCGCUAUCGUCCCCUGAGUUCCUGACUAGCCCCCUCUAUCCGCCCCGCCCCAGGGCACCGGAGGGGCGACCGUCCUGGACGACCUUCCCGAGUGGAUCGUUGUCGAAGAGAUCCUCGUCCGCUUGCCGCCCAAGGACAUCCUCCGCUGCCGCGCUGUCCGCAAGUGGUGGCACAACGCCACCUCCACGGACAAGUUCAUGCUGGAUCACCAGUUCACCACCGCUGCCAGCCCUUGCUCCAGAUUCUCAGCUGCACCAUUGACCCGCAGAAAGCCUGCCUCUUGUUUUCCUUUGAGGCCUGCGCAGGCCAGCAAAAGCUCUGCCCUCUCGUCCGGACCUACGACUAUGGUAAACUCGAGGCUGCCCAUGAUGGCCUCCUCAUCGUCUCCCAUGCGUAUGAGUUCUUCAUCUGCAACCCAGUCACUCGCAAGUGUGCUCCUCUAGCGAAGCCUCGAACUCAACAUGGUAUUCGUAACCAGAUUGUUGGAUUCUAUCGGCACCAAUCAACCGGAGGAGAAUACCAAGUGCUUUGGCAAUCUAGUCCGACAUGCUACAAUGCAUAUGACACAAAUUACAGAACUCUCUACUACGCCAUAGCGGUGGGAUCCGAUAAAAUAAGAUACUUCAGACUAGGAUGCAUCCCACAACCAACAUCUUCGUCGCCUUCCUUGGAGCUGGCGUUACGCGAGGGCCUGCCUGGUUCGUCUCAAUAUCCACCAGUCCACCACCGAGGCGGCCUGCACUGGAAACUUGAAAAAUAUCAUGGCUGGGAUGCCGACUACAUAAUGGUGUUCAACACGGUAGCUGAAACAUUUCGGUUGAUGUCUCGUCCUGCCCGAUUGGGCAACUGCUUACAGGAGUCGUUGCUGAGAUGAAUGACACUCUUGCUUUGUGCAGCAUCAGCAAUGACAAACACACCAUAGAUGUUUGGGUGGUACAGGACUACGAUGCCGAGACCUGGUCUUUCAAGCAUCGGAUUAAUUCGAGCGGGGUGGAUCCAUAAGCGCUUGUUGAUCCAGAGGUGACAAUGAUCCGUAGGAUGGCUGCUCUCAAUGAGGGUGAGCUGCUGAUCCAGUUCACUUUCACUCGUAGGUGUGUGUUGCAUUUUGACAGUGAUGGCAAGUUUUUAGGAUAUGUGAAGAGUGAAGAUGACCAAGAAAUCGAAUUGUGCGUUACCAAGCAUUACCUCUGGAUCAACAAGCGCUUAUGGAUCCACCCCGCUCGAAUUAAUCCGGAGCCUCCAUUUUUUGUAGGGCUGUAGGAUGCAGUGCUUGAUCUGGAUGUUAUACACUGCUGAUUUGCUUCGCCAAUGGAGUAUCUAUUCUACAUGAGCAUUAUUUUUUGUUCCUGGUUGGUCUUCUUAGUGUAGAACUGAACAAUUCGGAUGGUUGCAGCUAUUAUCUUGCGUUUAGUACCAUGUUAAAGUUCUGAACUAUGGAGAAUCUAUGCUAUAUGACUAGUCUAUUUUAUUCCCCUCGUUUACUUCCAGUUUGCAUUUUUUGGAACGAUGAAAGACAUGGUU